GGCGGCGUGCCUAAUACAUGCGAGUAGAACGCUGAAGGAGGAGCUUGCUUCUCCGGAUGAGUUGCGAACGGGUGAGUAACGCGUAGGUAACCUGCCUGGUAGCGGGGGGUAACUAUUGGAAACGAUAGCUAAUACCGCAUAAGAGUAGAUGUUGCAUGACAUUUGCUUAAAAGGUGCAAUUGCAUCACUACCAGAUGGACCUGCGUUGUAUUAGCUAGUUGGUGGGGUAACGGCUCACCAAGGCGACGAUACAUAGCCGACCUGAGAGGGUGAUCGGCCACACUGGGACUGAGACACGGCCCAGACUCCUACGGGAGGCAGCAGUAGGGAAUCUUCGGCAAUGGACGGAAGUCUGACCGAGCAACGCCGCGUGAGUGAAGAAGGUUUUCGGAUCGUAAAGCUCUGUUGUAAGAGAAGAACGAGUGUGAGAGUGGAAAGUUCAACACUGUGACGGAUCUACC
rnacentral:rRNA from 1 species